AAGAGAUGGAAUGUUCUUAAGGGGUUUAGUCUUCUCUCCUUUAUCCUUUAGUGUUUGGAUGACUGCAGAGCAUAUUUAUGGUUGAUUUGGCAUUCUUGAGAGAGAGGUGUUGUUCAAGCAUCAGGCGAGAUUUUAUUGAGGAAACGAAAGCCCCAUGGAGGUCAAAUUCCACCAGCAUGAAAAAGGUGACUGCUCCUUAUAAUUUCUGGAAGCUGCAGCCAGCAGUUGGAAAGACAGCGUUAGCAAUAGCAUCACCAAGCCCUGAGAAUGCAGCUGUAAAGGGACUUCGGGAUUCUACAGGACGAAAGCUUCCACUGGAAGGUGAGGGCACAGUGUCUGCUUCUUUGCAGUGAACCUGAUUUUCCUGAUCUGUACGGGCAGCCUUCCCUUCCUCACAAGGCACUUGGCAGGCUGCAAAGGAAGGAUGGCAUAAAGUCUUUUGUGCCUAGAAGAUGCUCAGUUAUGGCACCAAUAUCUUCUCGUUCUCCUGAAAGUGGAAAUCCUAAACCUACAGAGAAUCAGAGAUGUUGAAAUAAAUUCUGCUCUUAGAGGCCACGUGACUGGUGCCCAGCCACUCAGCUGCCCAGUCUGGAAGGGGAAGAGUCACUCUGCUGCUACCGGCUUAAAGUGUAAACAUGUGCCCACAGUGUUUCUACUGACAGCACCCGAGGUGCUGGGAGAACAGCCUUCGCUUGCAGGAACAGUGGCUCUCCUGGAAAAGCCAGCUUGCUUGGCUGGAGUUGAGCCAGCAGAGCUGGCUCUCGCCCUGGCAAAUUCUCUAUCACUCCAAGGUCCAGGAGACUGGGAAAACUGGCCAGCGUCAGGGGGCCUCCCUCUGUACCAGCCUCCGGGUUCUUGCUCAGGGUGCUGGUUGGUGGCCUAGAAUACAACCGGUUUGAAUUCACCUCUUUCCACCGCCUGCAUUCACAGGACAACUUACCUCUCACCUUACCGUGUUUCUAGAAGAGCACAGUUCUGAAUUCAGACGUUACCAAAGAAUCAGUUUGGACACUAUCCAGUGUUUAUGGGCAUCUUAAAUUCUUUGUUCUCUGUGGCCUAAAUGAAUUGGAAAUUCAAACUGGACUUCAAUCAAAUUUGGCAUAAAGACCAGGACAGCAAACUUGUCCACUCUUUCCACAAAAAGAAGCAACCGCUGCUGGGGUUCAAGGAUCUGAAACCCAGGCACUGCCACCGAGAAUCUGAGGCUAAGAAGAAGUCAGGUGGGUUGGCCAGGGGAUCAGAUAUGCUGAUUGGCUGAAGAGAAUCAAGGACCAUCCCUAGAUCUGGAAGCAGGAUCAUGAUGCCAACCAAACCACAUUUGGAGGUGUUACUUUAUCAGAAGAGUGAAAAAAUGCCAAGUUGCACAAACACCCAACCAGUACAGUCCACCCCCUUUAACUGCCCAAUAUCCACACCCACCUGCAUCCCCAUAAAUACACCUCAAAAAAAUCCCCACUCCCUCUAUGAACUCUUUUUCCAAAAGAGACAAGCCAUGAUUUCAUGUAGUCUGGUUCUCUAGGUGAUUCAUGGUCCUCGUGGAGGGAGCUGCUAUGGCCCUAUGCGGUCCAUUGAGGCUCAGUGGUAAAUUUAAUCACCACUGAUGCAUUUAGUAAACAGCAAUGGAGAACAGGGUAAUUGCACUAAAAACUCUCAUUUGGAAAAGGAAAGGACAGGAUACAACUGUCAACGGUCACCCUGUCAUAUUCUGCCAGAAAUCACAUGGAUGUCCUUCCUCGAAACAAGUACCUGUCCUCCCUAGUGCUGUCCUCCAGAAGGCUCCUCUUUGCCCUUUGCCCUCUGUGGCCCCUGCUGUCUCUUUGGGGAAAUCCCUCCUGUGUUAACCUUCACAGACCAUGAGACAUGUGCAUCAAGGGCGGGGCCCCUUUUGGGAGCUGCACUGUUCUAUCAGCUCUCUUCCUGCUGCUGUGAGUCUGGGAGCCUGGAAAUGACCAUCGUAGACUGUCGUGGACCAGGCUUGUGGUUCCUCUGGCAAAAUGAUGCCCUUAAAAAGUGAAUGAGAUCCUGCUUUAUCCCUUCUGGCAAAUGCCAUGGAUGGUAACAAGAGUCAGGGAUCUUACCACGCCAUAGGCUUUGAACUAGAACUGCCUGAGGACAGCUGUGGCCUGGCAAUAGGCCCAGGUGCUCUGGCCAUCCGUUAGUAUCUGUCUUGGCCUCUACUUGAGAAUAAUCUAGAACACCGGGCUAGGUAGGGAUGACACGGAUGACCCUUUCCUCGCAAUAACAACUAAAAUGUUAGAAGCAACAUUUAUUGAUUGCUUACUAUGGGGCGGGCACUGUUCUAAAGUCUGAAUCCUCACUGCAACCUUAUGAGACAGGAACCAUUAUCAUCUCCCCUUCGCAAACACUGGUCAUGGAGCAGUAAAGAAUCUGAUGUCAUGCAGUGGGGCAGCAAUGAAAACCCAGGCAUGCUGGCUCUGUGGUCCCAGUGGAGCACUGACUGCUGUUGUGUUGUUCACUGGCUACUUCCUGUGGCAUCUUCCCAAGGGGCGUGCUGACUUCUUUGAGGCAUCAGGAGGUGCCUGGGAGAGACCCCUUCUGCUUGGUGUCUCUGUCCCUAUUAUGGAGCUUCUUCUAACUGUCUUCUUCCAAGUAACUUUCUUCUGCUAACUUUGGUUUGAGGGUAGAGAAUUGAGAUUUUCCUGGAUUCCCAGACAAUUGUUAACUGUAAACCAUUGGCAAAAAGGCAACUCUUAGCAAAUCUGUAUUUUCUUCCCUUCUCUUACUGUUGGGUGGGAUUGGGUUUAGUUUAAUAGAAUCAUCCUUGGAAGACCUUGCUGAAGAAGUUACCAGCACACUCCAAAAUUUGAAAUUUUCUUAUAAUAUCCUUUAAUGUUAAAGCCUCAGGAAGCACACAGUAUGCAUCUCAAGACUUCAUAGGCAACAGGUUAACCCAUUGCUUACUACAACAUAAAGAAGAAUUACUGAAUUCUCAUACCAAUUCUUUCCUUCACCCAAAUCUCGCUGCUUAGCCUUGUAACAUCCGCUUCUGGUAUUAGAUUCUGUAUCAAUUAGGAAUCUUUUGGUUGCGACUCAAACUAACUUAAGCAGAAAAGAAAUUUAUUGGAAGGCCACUAGGGGCUCAGAGAAUUGACAGGAGACUGGGGGUCAUGGCUGAGAAACAUCAACAGCGACCCCCUUGGGGGAGCCAUCUGGUCCACGCUGCAGCCAGCCAAUCCCUGCUUAUUUGCUCUCUGCUCAAGAUCCUGCACCCAGGGAAGGAACAUCAGAUUGGUCAAGCUCAGGUCACUUGCCCACCUGGGGGUAGAUAGGCCCCAGCAGACUAUGCUUGGCACAGAAGAGAUAAUUCCAGCAAAGGAAACAAGGCUGCUAUUCCGGAAGAGAAGUGGGUGCAGAGCAGUGGAAAUCCAACAAACUCCCCUUCCACCCAGCAACACAGAUCAUAUGGCUGCGUAAGCUGUUAGUGUGCAAUCCAGCAACAUUGUGGCAGCUGGAUCAGGAGGAGAGCAAGGAGGAUAGAGGUCUGCAGGAAGGCACAGCAGUUAGGUGAAUGUUAAGGACGAUGAGCGUUCCCAACCAACACCUGUCCUUGGAUAUCACCUUCAGGAAUAGAACUCUAUCUACACUGGAUCUGAUUUACUGUGGUAAGACUUAGGCACUUAGGAGUUAAAAUGUAACAAAACAAACAUGUUGCUUUAGUGGAUGUAGUUUUGCCUGUUCACUUUGGGUGUUUGUGUCUAAGGGGUAAGCACAAUACAUUUAUCUGUCAGCAUGGAAUUAUGUUCUCAGAAACCAGUGAUUCUUAUUCAUUCACUGAUUUAACAGAUCACUUAAUGAGUUUGGUCCUGGGCACUAUCCAGGAGCUAAGGAGAUACAAACAUGGAUAGCACAAUCUCUGUUCUCGAGACUGAAUAUCCACAUAGUGACAGAAGUCGUAGAAAUACUUGUCUACUUGGAAGGAGUGAUUCAAUGUGAAGGCUCUGAAGUCAGACACAGAAAAGCACAGCGUUGGAUUCAAAUCCUGGCCAUGUGACUUUGGGCAAGUUAUUGACACUCUCCAAACCUCAGAUUUCUUGUCUCUGUAAUGGGGAAAAUAAUAGUUCCUAAUUCAAAGGGUUGUUAUUCUCCUCAAAUUGAUUAAUAGAUUUAAUGUAAUCCCAAACAAAAUCCCAGCAUUUUUAGAAAAACAUGGAAGUUGAAAAGCAGAGUGAGUCUAAAAUAUAUAAGGCAAUAAAAAGGGACAGGAUGGCCAAGACAAUGUCAAAGAAGAACAGAGCUGGAAGGAUCAUACUGCCUUAUAACAUGACUUAUUCUAAGUCUACAGCAUCUAAAACAGUAUGGUUUGGGCCCAAGGAUAGACAAAUAGACUAAAAGAAUAGUCUAGAAAUAGGCUGACAUGCAUAGGUCAGUUAAUUUAUUAAUUUAUGACAAAGAUAAUGUUCAGAGCAGUGGGGAAAGGAUUUUUUUUUUUUUUUGGUAACAAUAUUUGUUCUUUUGUGUCUUGCUUAUCUCACUUAGCAUAGUGUCUUCAGGAUUCAUGCAGGCUGUGACCUGUGUCAAAAUUUCAUUCCUCUUAGAGGUUGAAUAAUAUUCCGUCGUUUGUAUAUCCCACAUUGUGUUUAUCUGCUCAUCCACUGGUGGACAUCUGUGUUGCUUCCAGCUUUUGGUCACCCCUGUGAGCAAUGCUGGUUUGCAUUUUAGUGUGCAAAUUUCUGUUCGAGUUCUUGUUUUCAGUUCUUUAGAGUGUAUACUCGGAAGUGAAAUUGCUGGGUCAUUUGCUAUUCCAUGUUGAAU